GACGAACGCUGGCGGCGUGCUUAACACAUGCAAGUCGAACGGAAAGGCCCUGCUUGCAGGGUACUCGAGUGGCGAACGGGUGAGUAACACGUGGGUGAUCUGCCCUGCACUUCGGGAUAAGCUUGGGAAACUGGGUCUAAUACCGGAUAGGAGCCAUCUUUAGUGUGGUGGUUGGAAAGUUUUUUCGGUGUAGGAUGAGCUCGCGGCCUAUCAGCUUGUUGGUGGGGUAAUGGCCUACCAAGGCGGCGACGGGUAGUCGGCCUGAGAGGGUGUACGGCCACAUUGGGACUGAGAUACGGCCCAGACUCCUACGGGAGGCAGCAGUGGGGAAUAUUGCACAAUGGGCGCAAGCCUGAUGCAGCGACGCCGCGUGGGGGAUGAAGGCCUUCGGGUUGUAAACUCCUUUCGCUAGGGACGAAGCUUUUUUGUGACGGUACCUAGAUAAGAAGCACCGGCUAACUACGUG
rnacentral:rRNA from 1 species